rnacentral:rRNA from 1 species
UACGUAGGGCGCGAGCGUUGUCCGGAAUUAUUGGGCGUAAAGAGCUCGUAGGCGGCCGGUUGCGUCUGCUGUGAAAUCCCGGGGCUUAACCCCGGGCGUGCAGUGGAUACGGGCCGGCUGGAGGCAGGCAGGGGAGAAUGGAAUUCCCGGUGUAGCGGUGAAAUGCGCAGAGAUGUGGAGGAACACCGAGGGCGAAGGCAGCCUCCUGGGCUGAGAUUGACGCUGAGUGCACGAAAGCGUGGGGAGCAAACAGG